CAGAGAAAGAAAGAACUUGAUAAAGAAGAAAGGACAGAGAGAGUGAAAGAGGAAGAGAGAGUGAGAGAGCAUCCUCUUUUAUUUACUCGGAGGUGUUGUCCUCCUUCUUCUUCUCUCAUCUCUCAGAUCUUAUGCCAUUUUAUGAAGAAAGAGAGA
rnacentral:ribozyme from 13 species